GGGGCUGUUGGGAGCUACAGGGAGGGAUGUGGAGCUAUAGGAGGUUGGGGGUGGGGGGCUGUAGGGGUGGAUACAAGGGUAUAUUGGGGCUAUGGGGUGGGCUAUAGGGGAAUGUGGGGCUCAAAGGCUUUUCCUUCCUUUCCCUUUCUUUCCUGUCGUUUCCCUUCCCACUUCUGCCCACAUUUUCCUCCCCUCCCUUUUCCUUGCCCUCCCCUUUUCUUCUCUUCCCACUACACCCCCCAUUUCCCUUCCCUUCUGUAUCUUGUUAUUUUAGGAAUACUUUAAGCAUUGGCGUGCUUUACUGAGAACGUUUCUUCCCGCAGCCUGUCAUUUCAUAGCAGGGUACAGCAGUUGUUUAAUAGCGACUUUGGGGAAGUUUUCAGUAUCCAGUCUCCUCAUAAGGAAGAAAGAAGGUUUCUGGAGGACUGAAUCAUGAGUCGCGCUGCCGCUAAAGCUCCACUUCCAGAAAGAAAGCAUCUUUUGUGGCAUAAAGAAGCGUGGAAAGGGGAUGGAACAGCUUAUGGAGAGGUGAUGGAACAGCUUGUUCUAGAUGCCAUCUCCAAGCAAUUGGAAGAGAAGAAGGUCAUCAGAAAUAGUCAGGAUGGAUUCACCAAGGGAAAAUGGUGCUCGACCAAGCUCGUAGCCUUUUAUGAUGGCAUCACCAGCUGGAUAGAUGGGGGGAGAGCAACGGAAGUUGUCUACCUUGACUUCAGCAAGGCUUUUGAUACUGUCUCCCACGACAUCCUGAUAAGGAAGCUGAGAAAGUGUGGGAUGGAUGAGUGGACGGUGAGGACCGUGGUUGGAUACAUUGAUUCCAGCAGAAGCUCAGUAAGCAGCGGCGACCUGUGCAAAGCGCUGCUCGGCAUGGACCUGUGCUGAGGUGAGUGGGGGCUCAACGUGUUGCUCCUGGUUCAUGUUCAGUGCUAACAGGAAACUCGCG
rnacentral:lncRNA from 1 species